UGCACUGGUAGCUCAGCUGGAUAGAGUACGUGGCUACGGACCACGAGGUCAGGGGUUCGAAUCCUCUCCAGUGCGA
rnacentral:tRNA from 1 species